rnacentral:lncRNA from 1 species
ACAUUUCAUAUCACAAACACAAACCGCAACUUCCUUUCCUUCUCUGCACAAACAAAACCGCAAACCAUUUCUUUCUUGAUACCGAGAUACCACUCUUCACCAAAUCUCAUUUCCUCUGCACAACUCAACCUCCUCCACCCACGAAUCAUCUUCACUUCACCCCACCUCGUGACCAUCGAAGGAAAGGAGAGUGAGAGGGACGUAGCUUCGGUAUCAUCGACAAGAAAAGAAAAGGAGGAAAACCGCGAGCUGAAGUAUUUUUCUGGUUUGUCCGUGAGUUGAUGGAGAGAUCUGAGAGCCAAACUUCAUCCAAUCCAGCCGCAAGUUUGAGCAAAGGGGAGGAAGAUUUGCGGGCUGCAAUUUCUGGAUAGCCGAGAGGAAGAAAAUUUUGCAGCUGAUUGUCGUGUGAGCUAAACCUUAAGCUGAGG